CGGAGAGCCCUGUAGCCUUGCUGCAGCAAGCCUCCAGCUCGCGGUCUCUCAUUCAGGACCAAGAGCCAGUUGCUGUAGAGGAGAUUCUCUUCGUGCGUUUGUCUUAUCUGUGUGGAUUUGAUUCAAAGACAUUGUCAUCUGUGUAGAAGCCAGUUUCGAUCGCUGGUUGCUACCCCUUGCCCUGCUGGCAGGGCAUUGAGCGGCACCCGUUUCCGGCCACCUGGGUGCGGAGAGCGAGGAGGGUGAAGGGAGGAGCAACCCCAAGCAUCUGUCAUUCAGCUCCAUCUGAUCUAGAGAUGGAGCGAAUAAGGCGGAUGCUGAGGAGGAAGGCCGGGCACGGGGCUCCAGAGCCGGCAGCAAACAUGAGGCAGCCUGCCCAGGAGGAGAGCGGCCCCUCUGUCCCCGCGGGCGGGGAAGAGGCUCGUGGCCAGCGGAAAGGGAGGAGCUGCUUCGCCUGCUGGAGGAGGCGGAAGACAGCAGCUCCUCUAGCUGACCCGGAGGCACCUUCUGGGCCGAAACGGAAGUGGCCCCGGGUUCAGCUGUGGAGCAGAGAGCCAGGGGAGGGCAGGA